UUAUCCUCCUUUUCUGAACCCCAGGCCUGAGGCCAGGCCAGCUGGGGCCUGGCUUUCAGGAGCUGGACUUGCUCCUGUCCCCGUUGGUGCGGUCUUUGGUUCCAGGUGGGAAUCAGAUCUCUUCCUGCUCGACAGCCGCACCCUCUGGGCCUCGGAGGAGGGCUGGCUGGUGUUUGACAUCACAGCCACCAGCAACCACUGGGUGGUCAAUCCGCGGCACAACCUGGGCCUGCAGCUCUCGGUGGAGACGCUGGAUGGGCAGAGCAUCAACCCCAAGUUGGCGGGCCUGAUUGGGCGGCACGGGCCCCAGAACAAGCAGCCCUUCAUGGUGGCUUUCUUCAAGGCCACGGAGGUCCACUUCCGCAGCAUCCGGUCCACGGGGAGCAAACAGCGCAGCCAGAACCGCUCCAAGACGCCCAAGAACCAGGAAGCCCUGCGGAUGGCCAACGUGGCAGAGAACAGCAGCAGCGACCAGAGGCAGGCCUGUAAGAAGCACGAGCUGUAUGUCAGCUUCCGAGACCUGGGCUGGCAGGACUGGAUCAUCGCGCCUGAAGGCUACGCCGCCUACUACUGUGAGGGGGAGUGUGCCUUCCCUCUGAACUCCUACAUGAACGCCACCAACCACGCCAUCGUGCAGACGCUGGUCCACUUCAUCAACCCGGAAACGGUGCCCAAGCCCUGCUGUGCGCCCACACAGCUCAAUGCCAUCUCUG
rnacentral:sRNA from 1 species